AUGAAUGCAGGUCCUUCUCACAUUUAAAUGUGCUUGUAGAAAGAGGACCUAAUGCCACCAAAGAUCUUCUCUUCAUUGAAAUGACCUGCAAAACAGAUGGGGAAUUUGAGGAAUACGUGCUUAGUUGCAUUUGUGUGGUUUCAUCCGACGAUGAUGGUAUGUUUGCAUUUUCUUUAUUUUAACUAUUCAAUUCUUCCAUGCAGUAUAUCAUAUGAAAAUCAGUAAAAUUUUGCAUUCUAUUCAUACUUUGUAUCACCGAGUCGGAAAUGUUAUGCUGGACCUAGUAACCAUGUAGUGCAGAUUUAUAUAUUGCCCAAUGAAAUCAUGCUCAGUUCUACUGGUAGCCAAUAUACGGAUACUCCACAAGAGAGAAGACCAUGCUGUGACAGAUUCUGUAUGAAUUGUACUAUGAUAGUCAUCAAGCUCUAGCAUUUCUUUUGUACAUUAAAUUGCUAAUUGUAGGUGAGUGCUGUGAAUGCGAUGAUGUACAUUAGAUAUUGAUUGACAAAACUAGACCAUAAUUGUAGGUGAGUGCUGUGAAUGUGGUGAUGAUGUGAAGCAUCCCACUGGUGUGGAGUACAAAAAGGGUGAAGCCAAGCUCCGUUUUCGGUGCGGGAGGCGUAUAUCAGCUGAAGAAUUUAAUAAGGUACAGCAUUAUUUUGUUGGCAAAAUUUGUAGAUCGAUAUGUAUGUGCAGAUGAGUCAAUGUUAGUUUCAUGUCUUUUAUUUGCAGUUUAUUGUUGUGCGUGAUGAAGAUUGGCUGGAGGCGGAGGAGGCUACGGUGAGGCAGCAAUACAGGAUGCGCAGCUUUGCAGAUGGCCAUGGAGCGAGGGGCGAGUGAGAAGGUGAAGGGAGUGCAGGGUUUUCGCAAGGAGACAGUGCGGACCCCUCCAAAUGCAUGGUUUUUUUUAAUAUUAAAACAUCUUUUUUCUAACACGAAAUAUUUUUUUGAUAAUUCUUAAAGCUUCCAAACAUGGUUUUCACAAAAGGUGUUUUCAUCUAAUAUAUUUCUCUUCUGGCGAAAAUCUACCCAACCAGUGACGUAGUUGUACAGGGCCGGCCCUGGUGUAUGGCCGGCGGGGCGACGCCCAGGGCCCAGGCCAGGAAGGGGCCCAUGACUUAUAGUAAAUAUACACACUGUCGUUCAGUAAAAAAUAGAUAAAAAAAUCAGAUGAAAACUAGAUGGCAAGGCCAUCAGAUAACAACCGAUCGAUUGGCGAAGCAUCACGCUAGCCAUCCGAAUAGCAAGAGUCACGCUAGCUUUCUUCUGCUCAUCGGUUCGUCGGCCUGUUUGUCGGGGUCGCUCGGCGUCUAGCUUGUCGCCUCGACCGGCCGCCGCCAAAAGGCGCCGCACGGCAGUCCGGCCAUCCGGCAUCCAGCACGCGGUAAUCCGCAGCAGUACGAUUGUAUACGAGCUAAAGCCAAGAAGGCCCGGGCGUCCGGCCAUCCGGCAAGAUCCAUCCAACAUCCAUCCAUCGGCACUUCAGCAGCAGUAAUCAGUAGUAAUACCGGUACGUAUCCAUGAUCCACUCAUCCAUCAGGAGCAGGAGUAGUACGUAUGAACGUAUCGAUGAUCCACCUAUGUUCCCAAUCCAUACCCCCAAACACCAAUUUGACCAUUUCGAUAGUAUAUUUUAUUCUAUAUAUAUUUAGUGUGUACGUAUUCAACUAUUUAUCCAUGUAUGUCUAGGGUUCCAAUCAUCUGAUAUAUAAAUUUGUAAUUUUUUGUAUCCUCUUUUCUCAUAAUUUUAGGACGUUAACCUGUCAUGUUGUCUAAGAAGAAGCAAUUGUCCGAGGUGGCGCUGUUUCUUGAAAGUCUUGCAAGCAAACGAUCUUAACAAGGUCAACAAUGGAAGCAGAACUCACAGAUACAGCUACGGUUGAAGCAGAUUGGCUUCGCCGGCUCUUGAAUGACUUGUCAGUUGUCGAGAAACCUGUACCGAGUAUCCUUAUGAACUGCGACAAUCAAACUGUGAUCACGAAAGUGAGCAGCUCAAAGGAUAACAUGAAGUCAUCAAGACACAUCCAGAGAAGGUUAAAAUCUGUCAGGAAAAUGAGAAACUCCGGAGUUAUUGCAUUAAAAAUCUGGCAGAUCCUUUUACUAAGGGGGCUAUCACGUAAUGUGAUAGAUAAUGCAUCGAGGGAGAUGGGUAUGAGACCCACAAUUUGAGUUGUUCACAGCGGUAACCUAUUCUUUGUGAUCGGAGAUCCCGUGAAUUAGAUGUGGAAGACAAGUUGUUGGUCAACUGAGAGGAAAGUAUCCUUAUCAUUAAUAAUACCACUUCAUGAAGAUGCAAUACUUUCCUAAACUGCAUGGCAGGUUGAUAUACAUCUUAAUAUAUUCUAAGUGGCUUACUGAAGCAGAGAUGUUGUCCUCCAGAACAUCUUUUGGAGAACAUACAUAUAUGAGUCAGAUUGUUAAACGUCGCAAUCUAUGAGAGUAGGGUGCUCUCUAGUAUACUCAUGAAAGGUCUCGGAGUAUGACGCAUAAGCUCCACCCGCGGGGAAGUCCCACGGUAGCCUAGUAUCGAUCAAAGCUUUGUGUGAAGCUAGAUUCGCAGAAAACUUGCAGUUCAAGGCCUAAUCCACUAUUCAAGUUGCUUACUAGUGUAGCAUAGAGUUCUAGGUGGAAGUUCAACUUAACAGUCUCCAUUGCAGUAUCGGUAUAUAAAACAGUGUUUUGGAACCAAAGGCAAUUUUUGUGUGUCUCUCGGAUCUGAUGGGGGAUUGCUGGAAUUUUGUCUACUUUUGGGCCAGCCCAAUAUAUAAUUUCAGAAAAUUUCUAAUAAAUCCUAGAGGCCCACGCAGCCCAUUUGUGCAAGGCAAGAGGUGGAAAUGUUUAGUCCCAUUUUGCUAGUUUAGUGGGAGUUGGACCUCCUUAUAAGAGAGGAUGUUUCCACACAUGUAUGAGCUUGAGAACAAGAGAGGCAUACACGCGCGCUUCUCCUCCUCCGCCGCUCGCCUCGUCACGACGCGCCGCGGAAACGAGCCGAACUAAAUUUUUGCCACGCACGACUAGUAUACGAAAGGUCACUCGGAAAUUGAAUGUUUUGCUGUAGUGGAUAUUGAAAGCGACGCAACACUCUUCGGUUGUUGUUCGUUUCAUUUCCCUCGCUCUCUUCGGCUCCCGUGGUGGAUAUUGUCUGCUCCCCCGCGGAUGAUGGAGGUAGCUUUCUUCAUUGGAUUGCGCACAUCCAGCCGCACUCUCGCCCUAUAGAAGUUGCCCUUAAAAUCAAAGGAGGGCAGCUCUGAGUCCACAAACUCACCCGAUUUUGAUGUCAAGGUUUUCACUUUACCUUUAUUUGCUAUGGGCAGGUCAAUGAUCCGUGCCCAAAUCUCGAACUUGUAGAGCUCUGUUGAAGUUGGCUUGAAAUAUCCAUCAUAUGGAGCAAUGAUCACUCGAUUGCCUCUGAAGUGCCACGACCCCCCUUGGGUGACCUUCUCCCAGUCUCUCAGGCACUUGAACUGCAUCAUGAACAAGGUUUCCUCCAAGGUUUUGAUCUUGACUGUCCUGGCCAGAUCCCACGUCGUUCUCAUUUUGCGGAAGAACCAGUAGGAGCUAAACCCCGUGUCCAUGUGUACAUGGUCAAGGAUCAUCCAGCGGAUAUCUUCCUCCGCUGGGGCAUCAGAUUCUUCAAAGACGACAUAGUGUAGGUCAUCUUCUUGCAAGGCAAGUUUUUUCAUGAGAUCCUCCACCUUGCCAACCCUCAUGGCGAUAAUGAUGACGAGUCCCCGCGACACGCCAUCCUUCAAAAUCGAGACAGAUCGAUCCGACGAUCCCAUCAGAAAAGCUGCCGAAAAACCCCAACCCCUCCCAACCAAUCGAAGGUACCAGGCAGCGCCGCAAGGCUGCCACCAACACGAGGGCAAAGAACCGGCAAACCAUAUUUGGCGAUGCAUGCGCUGGUUAAAGUGCAUUUUUCUUAACCGGCGCGUACAACGUUCGGUCAUGGACUGGCCCAGCGAGAGGAGGUGGGUUCCGGUUUUAUGAAGGUUUUGGAAUCUUCCUAGAUGUUUUUUUUNNNNNNNNNNNNNNNNNNNNNNNNNNNNNNNNNNNNNNNNNNNNNNNNNGUUUUUCGAUUUUAUGAACCUUUUGUGUUCACUUUUUUUUUGCUUUUUGUUUAUAAAAAAAUCCGUCCUGAAACUAGUUUUUCGCUGGGCCUGGCCCGUUUACGCGACCCCUCCGUCUUCCUUCCCGUCGCCUCCCCAGGAAGAAAGCUUCCCUCUUUUCCCCUCGCCUCGCCGGCAGGAAGAAAGCUUCGAUCUUUUCCCCUCGCCUCGCCUCGCCGGCAGGAAAUCUCCAAAACCCUAGCCGUCGCCGACGAUGUGGCCGUUGCCCACGCCGCCUCCCCCUUCCUCUUCACCAUCAGAAUCGGAUGCAUCUCCCCUUCCCGUGCCCUCCCCUCCCCCACCAGCUGCAGCGUCCAGGGCCACCUCUCCACCACCAUCCGCAGCCGCCGCAAGCCGAUCCCCUCCCGUCCCCUGCACUCCACCGCCGGCCGCAGCCUCCACAGGCCGAUCCCCUCUAGUCCCCUGGACUCCACCGCCGGCCGCAGCCUCCACAAGCCGAUCCCCUCCCGUCCUGCCUCGCCGCACUUAUACACCAAUAAAUCUUCCAGACGAACGCCGCUACUGCAGUCGGCCACAGCCUCCACGGUAUGACUUCAUCGACAUCCCUCACUCUGCUCCCUAUUUCUAAUGGCUUGGAACGACAGCCAUACCUGCAUGUUCUGCACUGGCCUUUGAGUAGUCUCCAUUAGCAGGAUCAUCGAACCCGAGAAUACGGAUACAUAAUAUAAUAUACUAUAAUCUCUGUUGCACCUGUAUACCAAUUCAAUGAGAGCUGGUGCCGUUGCAUUUUCCACGAGACAAUUAUCUUGAUGUUCUUUGAUUUAUUCUCUCUUGGAGCAUCCUUAAUAAAUAGAGCCAACUGCUGGCUAUAUCACAUUGCCUUGUCACUUAGAGUUGGUCUAGUAGCCCACCCCAUUGCAGUCAUCAUAUACUACUAUCUUAAUACAUGGCUCACCUCUAACGAAACCUUUUCAAGCUUAUAUCAUGUUAUUAUACUUGCUCUCGUUUGCUAGUUUGUCCAACACCUAUUCUUGUUCUGACCCACUUUUUGUCCAAGAGUCAGCAGAUCAUUAGAAAAAGAGCUAUUUAUCAAAGCUAUUAAUGGUCAGAUUGAAUUAUUCUGUUCGAGAGCAUGAGGCUUUGUAAAAAAGUACUCUUUUGACCCAUAUCACGACCAAAUGUCUUUGAUUCUGAAAAUCUGCAUUGGUUUCUGGAGUGCUUCUUUUUUAGUUAAUAAUAACUACUUAGUUUUAAGAAAGGUUAGUUUUUCUUUUGAGAUAAGGAGUUAGGUUAACUAGUUUUUUUAGGAACGCCUAUAGUUCUAUUCACGCUCCCAACCAUUACAGAUACAAUGAUUUCGAUCCAUUAUCAAAGAAAUUGCAAAGUAACUCGUACAACUAAGAAUCACAAUGAGAUCUCUUGGAGACAUCUUCUCCUUGGUAUCAGUCUUUGCACAAUAUAUAUAUUCCACAAACUUAUUAUCUUUUGUUUUUUCAGUUGUGAGGACACUGAGCAGGCAGUGCGUAUUGAGGCCCCACCAUCGCCAAACCACUUUCCACCUGUUUCAGCAUUGAGGCCAACAAGAUUGCUAAUUAAGUAUUUUCUGAGGGUUGAUGCUGGUGGACUCUUCCACACAUAUCCUCAUCGAGGUGGUCCGUUUAAGACCUUACAAGAAGCUCAGGAUGCUAUAGACUCCUAUCACACUAAUCUGUGUAAAUUCAAGUAAAUCUUCUCUCAACUUUGUUUCUAUUUUCAAGUGUUGGAAAAUGCUUAUAUGUAUAUGCUAUGUCCUAUGCUAGCAGCUUAUAUGCAAGUAUAUUUCUCUUUAGCAACAUGCAGCUUUAGUCCGGCAUGCAAACUUACUAGGGAAACCCUUUCAUUUCUAGGACUGAAAACAUAAAUUCCAAAUUGAUUUUGCCGUAUGCCUUCUCAAAUUCUACUUUAAGAAAAACAACGUGUUUUUUUUCUCUUAUGUAAAGAAUGUAAGGUCUCAAUGUAGCAUUACUACACUAUCUAAAAUAUACGGCCUUUAAUAAAAGCAUUAUGAAUCUUGGACUUUACAUUCUCUGUAACCAGCAUAGCCCUACUUGGAAUCAGGGUCUUGGUAAAAAAAUUGAAUGCCACAGUAAGCAUGCAAAUAGGUCUAUACAUUUGGAUCUUGUCAGCCCCCUGCCCUUUGCCAAUCAGGUUGACAAUUCCAUAGUAGAAUUCUUUGAAAUCACAAGCUUUGUGCUUGCACUUUAAAAUCCCUGACCCUCGCAUAUCGCGUUGUUUAUAUGAACUAGGUACUUGGGUGGGCUUUCCAAUGAGGACAGGUUUGUUUGGGAUACACUAUAUUGGCGUAAUGGCACAAGGAAGAACUCAAAAGAAGCUUUGGAUGCAAUGAUGAACUAUAACCCCACUUGGGAAGUAGUCAAAGCUUUACUGGACAAGCACAAUGAGGACCAUCCUUUGGAGGUUUGCUAUCUCCCUUGCUCUCUCUUGCCAUUUUCUUGUUUGCCGCUCUCCCUCACCGUCUUUCUUAUGUUUUAGGAUCUUGCAUAUGAAAUCAAGGAAGUAGUGAGUUACAAAGAUCACUUCCCUAGAAAAGAUUCUCAGCAUGAAUGCAGGUCCUUCUCACAUUUAAAUGUGCUUGUAGAAAGAGGACCUAAUGCCAUCAAAGAUCUUCUCUUCAUUGAAAUGACCUGCACAACAGAUGGUGGAUUUGAGGAAUACGUGCUUAGUUGCAUUUCUGUGAUCUCAUCCGACGAUGAUGGUAUGUUUGCAUUUUUGUUAUUUUACCUAUUCAAUUCUUCCAUUAAGUAUAUCAAUAUGCAAGUCAGUAAAAUUUUGCAUUCUAUUGAUACUAGUUGGAUGCUCGUGCCUUGCCACGCAACAAUAUAUAUAUGCCAAACAUUAAUGAAAUGAUAAUUCUUUUUAUGAGCACUGAUGUCAUGCAUCCAGUUUAACAAAUCACCCACUCAUUUCUGCCAAACGGACAUCUUCUUCGACGUCAGGCCGUUAGAGGACAAGUUAAGUGUCUUGCUACUACCAUCCCAACCUAAAUGUGUAUCAGGACAAAAAUGCGAAAAACAUAGUAAAAAUUAAGAUCUCCACUUUACUUAAUAACUUUGAAAACAAGCAAAACCACAAAUAAGUGCCAAAAAGGAAGCAAAAAUAUAAGAUCCAUAAUUUGAU
rnacentral:lncRNA from 1 species